AGUCAAGUUCUCAUCAGAAUGUAGAACACAUUUUCAUAGACUCUAUCACAACACAAGGGAUUGUUCAAGACCAGCAUACUACAAAAGAUGUGCAAGAUUGCUAACACGGCUAGCGAUGAGUCCACUUUGCUCACAAUCGUAGACAUUGCAUGCUCACCAUUUUGAAAGAGGGAUAUAUGUUUUGCCCAGGAAGUGCCUUCAAUUCACAGCAGUCACAUUAAGAACAUAUUAUUGUAAUUGUUUAUAGUAUUUUUAUUUGUGUUGUUGAUACUGUAUGUAUAUGAAAAUGCUGGCAGCCUUUAUUGGUUUUWUGAAAUAGAUUUUCUUUUUAUCUUCAUGUAUCAUGUAUUUUUAAGAAAACCUUA